UUCACUGAUGCAUUUCCAAUGCAAAAACCCUGACAACCAAUUGGAAUACAGACGCUGUAAACCCUCUCCAUCCAGCUCUCCGAGAAGCAGUUGACAACAACGGAGACCCUACAGAUAACACAAGCCCGUGAUUUUUUCACUUGCUCCAAAUUAAACCACCAUUCAAAGCUCACGGCAGAAAAGAUGGCACAGGUGUGGAAGGUCGUCGAAUUCAAAGAUAGGAGCACUACCAUAGUGCCAAGCAGCUGGUUGGAGGAGGCAGGGGAGUCAUGGAAUUGUUUCUGGCCUCCUAGUUCUUACGAUCAUAUCCGCCUCCAGAAGGCAGUCGCGCACCACCUUCCUCCAGGUGCAGCGUGGGACGUGCACGGUGACGUGAGGGUCUUGGUUAGCUGUGGCCAAACUCACGCUACCUGCAGGAGCCAGCUGGAAGAGUCCAUACCACUAGGGGCCUGCCGCAACACUUUUUUGAAGGUGUGGACACUGAUGACGAGGCACCACCCCCCCCAAGGAAAACAGCACGACAAUCUGUAGAUGUAGGGCCAGACAUCAAUAGUGAGUGGCUAUUUGGGCCAUCGACCACCCAAAGAGCUCAAUCAAAUGGCAGCCAGAGACUUGAGCUACUACAUCUAGGUAAGUGUUGGCGUCAGUAGAACACCUAAUUUCAACAUGUAUUGAUUGAACAUGUAUUUAUAUUAAUUUCUUACAAGGUAAAUCUU